UACGUAGGGUGCAAGCGUUGUCCGGAAUUAUUGGGCGUAAAGAGCUCGUAGGCGGCCCGUCGCGUCGGCUGUGAAAACCCGGGGCUCAACCCCGGGCCUGCAGUCGAUACGGGCGGGCUUGAGUCCGGCAGGGGAGACUGGAAUUCCUGGUGUAGCGGUGAAAUGCGCAGAUAUCAGGAGGAACACCGGUGGCGAAGGCGGGUCUCUGGGCCGGAACUGACGCUAAGGAGCGAAAGCGUGGGGAGCGAACAGG
rnacentral:rRNA from 1 species